UGGGGAAUUUUGGACAAUGGGCGAAAGCCUGAUCCAGCAAUGCCGCGUGUGUGAAGAAGGCCUUCGGGUUGUAAAGCACUUUUGUCCGGAAAGAAAUCCUUGGCUCUAAUACAGUCGGGGGAUGACGGUACCGGAAGAAUAAGCACCGGCUAACUACGUGCCAGCAGCCGCGGUAAUACGUAGGGUGCAAGCGUUAAUCGGAAUUACUGGGCGUAAAGCGUGCGCAGGCGGUUUGCUAAGACCGAUGUGAAAUCCCCGGGCUCAACCUGGGAACUGCAUUGGUGACUGGCAGGCUAGAGUAUGGCAGAGGGGGGUAGAAUUCCACGUGUAGCAGUGAAAUGCGUAGAGAUGUGGAGGAAUACCGAUGGCGAAGGCAGCCCCUGGGCCAAUACUGACGCUCAUGCACGAAAGCGUGGGGAGCAAACAGGAUUCAGAUACCCUGGUAGUCCACGCCCUAAAGCGAUGUCAACUAGUUGUUGGGGAUUCAUUUCCUUAGUAACGUAGCUAACGCGUGAAGUUGACCGCCUGGGGAGUACGGUCGCAA
rnacentral:rRNA from 1 species